rnacentral:rRNA from 1 species
UACGUAGGGGGCAAGCGUUGUCCGGAAUCAUUGGGCGUAAAGCGCGCGUAGGCGGCCCUGUAAGUCGGUUGUGAAAGUCAAAGGCUCAACCUUUGAAAGCCGAUGGAUACUGCAGGGCUCGAGUUCGGAAGAGGCGAGUGGAAUUCCUGGUGUAGCGGUGGAAUGCGCAGAUACCAGGAGGAACACCAAUAGCGAAGGCAGCUCGCUGGGACGAUACUGACGCUAAGGCGCGAAAGCGUGGGGAGCGAACAGG